CCUUUUACCUGGCAGGGAAGACACCAAAACCAUGAGGCUUUUCCAGGUUAGUUCUUCCCAUUGCACUCCAGAUGUGUUAACCACUGGGAUUUCCCCACAUGUGGGAACUUCCCCUGUGUGAUUGGUGACAAUGGGGCAAUGUGAAGUGCCAGACUUUGAAGUCAGGCCCCA